rnacentral:lncRNA from 1 species
GUUUGGUGUCUCUUCACAUGGACUCGAGUGAACUUUGAUGCCGUGGCUCGGAUCGGGGGACCUCCCUUAGGAGAUCAAUCCCCCGUCCUCCUGCUCUUUGCUCCAUGAGAAAGAUCCACCUACGACCUUAGGUCCUCAGACCAACCAGCCCAAGAAACAUCUCACCAAUUUUAAAUCCAGUAAGCCGCCUCUUUUUACUCUCUUCUCCAACCUCCCUCACUAUCCCUCAACCUCUUUCUCCUUUCAAUCUUGGCGCCACACUUCAAUCUCUCCCUUCUCUUAGUUUCAAUUCCUUUCAUUUUCUGGUAGAGACAAAGGAGACACGUUUUAUCUGUGGACCCAAAACUCCAGCGCUGGUCACGGACUGGGAAGGCAGCCUUCCCUUGCUGUUUAAUCAUUGCAGGGACACCUCUCUGAUUAUUCACCCACGUUUCAAGGGUGUCAGACCAUGCAGGGAUGCCUGCCUUGGUCCUUCACCCUUAGCGGCAAGUCCCGCUUUUCUGGGGAAGGGGAAAGUACCCCAACCCCUUCUCUCUGUGUCUCUACCCGUUCUCUGCUUUUCUGGGGAAGGGGCAAGUACCCCAACCCCUUCUCUCUGUGUCUCUACCCCUUCCCUGCUUUUCUGGGGAAGGGGCAAGUACCCCAACCCCUUCUCUUCUUGUCUCUACCCCUUCUCUGAUUUUCUGGGGCAGGGGCAAGAACCCCUCAACCCCUUCUCCUUCACCCUUAGUGGCAAGUCCCACUUUUCUGGGGGAGGGGAAAGUACCCCUCAACCCCUUCUCCUUCACCCUUAGUGGCAAGUCCCGCUUUUCUAGGGGGCAAGAACCCCCAAUCCCUUAUUUCCACACCCCGACCUCUUAUUUCUGUGACCCAAUCCCUUAUUUCCACACCCCAACCUCUUAUCUCUGUGCCCCAAUCCCUUAUUUCCAUGCCCCAACCCCCCUUCCCACUUUUCUAGGGGGCAAGAACCCCCAAUCCCUUAUUUCCACACCCUGACCUCUUAUCUCUGUGCCCCAAUCCCUUAUUUCUGUGCCCCAACCCUUUCUCUGCUUUUCUGGAGGGCAAGAAACCCCCACCCCUUCUCCGUGUCUCUACUCUUUUCUCUGGGCUUGCCUCCUUCACUAUGGGCAAGCUUCCACCUUCCAUUCCUCCUUCUUCUCCCUUAGCCUGUAUUCUUAAGAACUUAAAACCUCUUCAACUCUCACCUGACCUAAAAUCUAAGUGUCUCAUUUUCUUCUGCAAUGCCUCUUGACCCCAAUACAAACUCUACAGUAGUUCCAAAUAGCCGGAAAACGGCACUUUCAAUUUUUCCAUCCUACAAGAUCUAAAUAAUUCUUGUCAUAAAAUGGGCAAAUGGUCUGAGGUGCCUGACAUCCAGGCAUUCUUUUACACAUCAGUCCCUUCCUAGUCUCUGUGCCCAGUGCAACUCAUUCUGAAUCUUCCUUCUUUCCCUCCCGCCUGUCCCCUCAGUCCCAACCCCAAGCGUCACUGAGUCUUUCUAAUCUUCCUUUUCUACAGACCCAUCUGACCUCUCCCCUCCUUGCCAGGCCAAGCUAGGUCCCAAUUCUUCCUCAGCCUCCGCUCCUCCACCCUGUAAUCUUUUUAUCGCCUCCCCUCCUCACACCUGGUCUGGCUUACAGUUUCGUUCUGUGACUAGCCCUCCCCCACCUGCCCAGCAAUUUACUCUUAAAAAGGUGGCUGGAGCCAAAGGCAUAGUCAAGGUUAAUGCUCCUUUUUCUUUAUCCCAAAUCAGAAGCGUUUAGGCUCUUUUUCAUCAAAUAUAAAAACCCAGCCCAGUUCAUGUCUCGUUCGGCAGCAACCCUGAGAUGCUUUACAGCCCUAGACCCUAAAAGGUCAAAAGGCCAUCUUAUUCUCAAUACACAUUUUAUUACCCAAUCUGCUCCCGACAUUAAAUAAAACUCCAAAAAUUAGAAUCUGGCCCUCAAACCCCACAACAGGACUUAAUUAACCUCACCUUCAAGGUGUACAAUAAUAAAAAAAAGGAAGUUGCAAUUCCUUGCCUCCACUGUGAGACAAACCCCAGCCACAUCUCCAGCACACAACAACUUCCAAAUGCCUGAACCGCAGUGGCCAGACAUUCCUCCAGAACCUCCUCCCCCAGGAGCUUGCUGCAAGUGCCAGAAAUCUGACCACCAGGGCAAGGAAUGCCUGCAGCCCAGGGAUUCCUCCUAAGCCAUGUCCCAUCUGUGCGGGACCCCACUGGAAAUCGGACUGUUCAACUCACCUGGCAGCCACUCCCAGCGCCCCUGGAACUCUGGCCCAAGGCUCUCUGACUGACUCCUUCUUGGCUUAGUGGCUGAAGACUGACGCUGCCUGAUCGCCUCAGAAGCCCUGUAGACCACCAUGGACACCGAGCUUUAGGUAACUCUCACAGUGGAGGGUAAGUCUGUCCCCUUCUUAAUCAAUAUGGAGGCUACCCACUCCACAUUACCUUCUUUUCAAGGGCCUGUUUCCCUUGCCUCCAUAACUGUUGUGGGUAUUGACAGCCAGGCUUCUAAACCUCUUAAAACUCCCCAACUCUGGUGCCAACUUGAACAACACUCUUUUAUGCACUCUUUUUUAGUUAUCUCCACCUGCCCAGUUCCCUUAUCAGGCCGAGAUAUUUUAACCAAAUUAUCUGCUUCCCUGACUAUUCCUGGACUACAGCUGCAUCUCAUUGCUGCCCUUCUUCCCAAUCCAAAGCCUCCUUUGCGUCCUCCUCUUGUAUUCCCCCACCUUAACCCACAAGUAUAAGAUACCUCUACUCCCUCCUUGGCGACCGAUCAUGCACCCCUUACCAUCUCAUUAAAACCUAAUCACGCUUACCCGACUCAAUGCCAAUAUCCCAUCCCACAGCAUGCUUUGAAAGGAUUAAAGCCUGUUAUCACUCACCUGCUACAGCAUGGCCUUUUAAAGCCUAUAAACUCUCCUUACAAUUCCCCCGUUUUACCUGUCCUAAAACCAGACAAGGCUUACAACUUAGUUCAGAAUCUGUGCCUUAUCAACCAAAUUGUUUUGCCUAUCCACCCCGUGGUGCCAAACCCAUAUACUCUCCUAUCCUCAAUACCUCCCUCUACUACCCAUUAUUCUGUUCUGGAUCUCAAACAUGCUUUCUUUACUAUUCCUUUGCACUCUUCAUCUCAGCCUCUCUUUGCCUUCACUUAGACUGACCCUGACACCCAUUAGGCUCAGCAGCUUACCUGGGCUGUGCUGCCGCAAGGUUCCAGGGACAGCCCUCAUUACUUCAGCCAAGCUCUUUCUCAUGAUCUACUUUCUUUCCACCCCUCCACUUCUCACCUUAUUCAAUAUAUUGAUGACCUUCUUCUUUGUAGCCCCUCCUUUGAAUCUUCUCAACAAGACAUACUUCUGCUCCUUCAGCAUUUAUUCUCCAAAGGAUAUCGGGUAUCCCCCUCCAAAGCUCAAAUUUCUUCUCCAUCCGUUACCUACCUCGGCAUAAUUCUUCACAAAAACACAGGUGCUCUCCCUGCUGAUGGUGUCUGAUUAAUCUCCCAAACCUCAAUCCCUUACAAAACAACAACUCCUUUCCUUCCUAGGCAUGGUUAGUGCGGUCAGAAUUCUUACACAAGAGCCAGGACCCCACCCUGUAGCCUUUCUGUCCAAACAACUUGACCUUACUGUUUUAGCCUAGCCCUCAUGUCUGCAUGCAGCAGCUGCCGCUGCUUUAAUAAUUUUAGAGGCCCUAAAAAUCACAAACUAUGUUCAACUCACUCUCUACAUUUCUCAUAACUUCCAAAAUCUAUUUUCUUCCUCAUACCUGACGCAUAUACUUUCUGCUCCCCGGCUCCUUCAGCUGUACUCAUUCUUUGUUAAGUCCCACAAUUACCAUUGUUCCUGGCCCAGACUUCAAUCUGGCCUCCCACAUUAUUCCUGAUACCACACCUGAUCCCCAUGACUGCAUCUCUCUGAUCCACCUGACAUUCACCCCAUUUCCCCAUAUUACAAGCCACUAGCCCAUCUCUUAGAACCUCUCAUUUCCUUUCCAUUGUAGAAAUCUAUCCUCAAGGAAAUAACUUCUCAGUGUUCCAUCUGCUAUUCUAUCUGCUAUUCUGCUACUCCUCAAGGAUCAUUCAGGCCCCUCCCUUCCCUACACAUCAAGCUCGAGGAUUUGCCCCCGCCCAGGACUGGCAAAUUAGCUUUACUCCACAUGCCCCGAGUCACAAAAACUAAAAUACCUCUUAGUCUAAGUAGACAUUUUCACUAGAUAGGUAGAGGCCUUUCCUACAGGGUCUGAGAAGGCCACCGCAGUCAUUUCUUCCCUUCUGUCAGACAUAAUUCCUCAGUUUAGCCUUCCCACCUCUAUACAGUCUGAUAACAGACCAGGCUUUAUUAGUCAAAUUAGCCAAGCAGUUUUUCAGUUUAUAUCCCUUAUAGUCCUCUGUCUUCAAGAAAAGUAGAACGGACUAAAGGUCUUUUAAAAACACACCUCACCAAGCUCAGCCACCAACUUAAAAAGAACUGGACAAUACUUUUACCACUUUCCCUUCUCAGAAGUCAGACCUGUCCUCAGAAUGCUACAAGGUACAGUCCAUUUAAGCUCCUUUUUAUUAGGCCCCAGUCUCAUCCCAGACACCAGACCAACUUAGACUGUGCCCCCAAAAAAACUUGUCAUCCCUACUAUUUUCCGUCUAGUCAUACUCCUAUUCUCCGUUCUCAACUACUCAUACAUGCCCUGCUCUUGUUUACACUGCCAGUUUACACUGUUUCUCCAAGCCAUCAUGGCUGAUAUCUCCUCAUGCUAUCCCCAAACUGCCACUCUUAACUCUUGAAGUAAAUAAAUAAUCUUCGCUGGAAGGACUAUGCUGAACCUCCUUAGGCAUUCUCUAAUUAGAUGUCCUAGAUCCUCCCAAUUCUUAGUCCUUUUAUACCUGUUUUUCUCCUUCUCUUAUUCCAUUUAGUUUUUCAGUUCAUACAAAACCGUAUCCAGGCCAUCACCAAUCUUUCUGUAUGACAAAUGUUUCUUCUAACAACCCCCUCAAUGUCACCCCUUACCACAAGACCUCCCUUCAGCUUAAUCUCUCCCACUCUAGGUUCCCACGCCGCCCCUAAUCCCGCUUGAAGCAGCCCUGAGAAACAUCGCCCAUUCUCUCUCCAUACCACCCCCCAAAAAUUUUCACCGCCCCAACACUUCAACACAAUUUUGUUUUAUUUUUCUUAUUAAUAUAAGAAGGCAGGAAUGUCAGGCCUCUGAGCCCAAGCCAAGCCAUCGCAUCCCCUGUGACUUGCACGUAUACGCCCAGAUGGCCUGAAGUAACUGAAGAAUCACAAAAGAACUGAAAAGGCCCUGCCCCGCCUUAACUGAUGACAUUCCACCAUGGUGAUUUGUUCUUGCCCCACCUUAACUGAGUGAUUAACCCUGUGAAUUUCCUUCUCCUGGCUCAGAAGCUCCCCCACUGAGCACCUUGUGACCCCCGCCCCUGCCCACCAGAGAACAACCCCCUUUGACUGUAAUUUUCCAUUACCUUCCCAAAUCCUAUAAAACGGCCCCACCCCUAUCUCCCUUCGCUGACUCUCUUUUCGGACUCAGCCCGCCUGCCCCCAGGUGAAAUAAACAGCCAUGUUGCUCACACAAAGCCUGUUUGGUGUCUCUUCACACGGACGCGCAUGAAAAAAACCCUUUCAUUUUACUGUGGGACGGCAACCCUUUCUGGGACCCCUCUCUGCAGCAGAGAACUGUUCUCUUUCUUUCACCUGUUAAACUUCUGCUUCUGCUCUGACCUCGUCCUUGGUGUGUCUGCAUCGUCGAUUUCCUCAGCUGUGAGACCAACGACUUGGGCACCCACCCAGGCAACAAGGCCUUUUCAGUAAGGGAAGUGGUAAAAUGUUUUCAAUCCCUGUUGCCAAAAAUCGGCCUAAGGCUUCCCAAAAAAAGUAACCCAAAGCAGACAUGGCAAAUAUUUGCUACAUUUGAUAAUAAGCCAAUAAAUUAUCUGCUAAUAAGUGACUGAAAUAUUUAGCACACAUCUGCCUUAUUCUGAUGACUGAUCACAUUUCUAGCUCCCCUGUGGACUAAAACAAUAUGCUUUCCUUCUCUACACAAGCAAUGCUUUCUGCAGAGACACAAACUUUACAUCUGAAUACAAAUGCAGCACGUUUUAAUUCUGCCUCUCAUUCUCCAGCAAAAUCAUGGGGAAGAAGGAAAACAUCCUUAGUCAAAAGGGGUACAGGGACUUAGAACCUCACCAUGCUGCAGUCACACAGGCAAUAGAGAAAGAUGGCGGUGGUUCCCUGGGGCAGUUCCCCUCUCAAGCAAGGAGACAGGGGCAGCACUCCUACCAUCUCCCCAGGGAUAUAGGAGUUAAGAAGGAAUUGCUUAGGCAGAUAGCAAGGGCAUGGGAGUCCUGGGUAAGGCUUUUCUUUUUAAUGAAAAGCAGCCCCAAGUCAUUUUCUAACAAAGAGCAGCCUGCAAGCUGGGAGCUUGCAUAGGUGAAUGCCAGCAGGAACUAAGGACUAGACAUUUUCAAACUGGUGGCUCCAUCUUCCCUUCCCUGCCAGCCAAGUGUAUUGUAAGGAGCAGAGAAGAUGGCUCUGAUCAACUGGAAAGCCUAUUUGCAUAAUUAGAUUAGGGUGGGGCAACCAGCCUUCCCCCGCACACUAUGUAGACGUCAUACCUGAUGGAACCAGUCUGUGAGCCCUAUGUAAAUCAGACACCGCCUUCUCCAACUUAUUAUAUCUGUUUUGGUCCACUGCCUCCCCACUUUUCAGAUGUCUCUCUCUCUCUCUCUCUCUAAGAGCUGCUCUCCUCUCUCCUUUCUUCUAUCUAUUAAAUUUUCCACUCCCUAACCCACCCACAUGUGAUUGUGUCCUGAAUUCUUGGUGUGUGACGAUGAACCCCAGGGUGUAUACCCCAGACAGCACAGCCACUUCACCAGCAGGGACAGCAGCUGUCACAUGAACUGGAGAUGAACUGGAGUAGCACACUCUACCAGCUGGGAUGUCUGGAUAACAAGUUCCCCAGAUUGCAGCCUCCCUCCAGCACCAAGUAGGAUUACGAGUCUGUUUGGUUUCAUUUUAGCUAUGUAGAUUUGUCAAAUUUUGUCACCUCUGGACUUCAGUUUUCUCAUAUGUAAAAUGAUGCAUUGGCCUGAAUGUUUUCGGAGAACCUUCAAUCUCUGUGAGUCUCUUCACUGAAAAAAUUGUUGACUUUCUUUUUUUUAUUGUUCUGUUUUUCUUUUCUAUGUCAAAAAAGCACUAUGGUAAAAGUCUUUCAGUAAAACUUGAACCUUGGGGCUUGUUCCUGAGUUUGACAUGUUAAACAAAUGAAAGAACUGUUUUCAACUGAUUAGUCAUAUCCUUCAAUUCCUACGGGAAUAUGGGUUCGUUGUGCAUGAGAAAGUCAGCCAACUUUGGCAUGAAGAUGUCUUUCAGGUAGGUAGGCCACCUGUGAUGAAGUGAAUCAUUGAAGAAAGUCUAUUUUCUUGUGGCAUAAAUACAAGCCUGAAGAUUACACAUAAGCUGUCAUACACGUACCUCCUAAAUGCAAUUCCUCAGAAGUGACAUGCUAUCAUCAUUCACAUUAAUGUCUAUUUGUGCAACUACAUUGUUUAAAAUAAUCAACCAAUUCAUCACAAUAGAUAUUUGGGAGGAGUGAGGGAGCUUUCUCUGUACUAAUGAAAGAAAUGACAUUUCUGUUUACCAUUUGUCAGUUUUAAGUAGUUAAUAAAUAUCUGAAAUGAUUUUCAUAUUUUGAUAUGGUAUUCACUUGUAAGGAUAUGCAAUUUUUAAGAGUUAUGGUGAGAAUGUUUCUUCCAUAACAUUCAGCUUUGAAAAGUUUUAGGAAACUAUUCAUUAUGUCUCAAAAGUUAAAUGCACGACAAAUGAAAUGCCUCUUAUUGGUUGCAAUUUUCUAAAAGUAAGUAAUGCCUAUUACUUUGAUAUUUAACUCAAAUAUAUUAACAAUAAUUGAAAGCUUUUGAGUGCUACAGGUUGAUAAUAAACCUGAAAGUAUAGAAUAAUCAUCUGUAUUUUAAAAUUUUUAUUCUUAAGGCCAACAAAACAAAGUAAGAAUUAUGUCAGUGUUUCUAACUGUCCUACCCAGAUCUAGCUCCUGACUGAUAAUUGUCAACAGAGUCAAACACGCCUUCCUAAGGCCAGCUCCACUUCUCCAAAGCAAGCUCCUCUCACUUUGCCACCCAGAAGCCACACUGGAACCUGGAAUCUAAAGAAUGUGUUUGCAUUAUCAAAGAACUCUCCCUCUCCUAAAGGGUCCACCCUGGGAUUCCAUUCUAGUGACUUGACAAAAUGCUUCUAAUUACUCCUUAGUUAGUUCCCAUAAUCCGCUUAAGGACUUGUUUACUUGUUGACAGGCAGGGUAGGAAUUCAGCCUUGACAGUCUGUGUCAGUGCAACAUCAUAAAUAAGAUAAACAUUAUCUGAAGUGAUCACAAUGUUCUUGAACAUCUGUGCAACAUCAUAAAUAAGAUAAACAUUAUCUGAAGUGAUCACAAUGUUCUUGAACAUCUGAGCCGGACAGAAUCAAGCCUGCGUCAUCUUCCUUCUGAUUUUCCAAAUGAGCACACAGGAGAGGCCACUCUAAAGUCACCCUGGGAAUGUGUCUGCCUCCAGCCCCAUUCACGGCCCCUGGCACUGGCUUGUCAUGAGAUGGUGUUCAAUGAAUGCUUGUGGAAUUGAAUGAACACAAUGUGGAUUUACACCCUUUCCUGUCAAAUAGCUAGUUCUAAAAAAUACAGACCUGCACUUCAGCCAUGCAAUGCCUUUUAAGAUGUUUCAUACUCUGAUGCAGAGGAAGAUGUCUCUUGCCAUUACAGAACCACACCGAGAAAGAUCAAACAAAAUCACACCAAGAAAAUUCAUGUGCAGAUCAUCUCAUUUGCAAUUAUUGCAGCAUGCACCAAGUCCAACACAUUUCACCCACACUUUAUCAGCAAAAAAGAAAACACCUGAGGGUCAGCGUCUUCUCCAGGUCCUGGCACAGGACUACCUGAACCACGGAGAUGUUCAGUGGGUUGUGUAAAUGACAUUCCUUUCAUGGAGACGAAUGGGCACAUGGCGUCUAAAAGCCAUUCUGUAAGACAUAUUCCAAAAAUAAUUGUUUUAGUACCUUUUCAGACUGUGCAUUUAAAAAAAAAAAAAGCCCUUAGCCUCUAGGUCACAUGUACCAAACAGUAGUUCAUUACGAUGCAAUACGGCCCCGCCACACUUACUAAUUUUAUACCAAGAGGAUGAAAUGAUGUUGUCUAGGGAACAGGAUAAGAGGAAAGGGGUUUAGGAACUCAGAAUUUUAUUCUGGCUCUGAUGCUAAUUUUCCUGUGACCUCAGCCAAGUCCUAUAAAUUGUUACUAUCUGCAAAGUGAAGAUAAUGGACAAGUCUCACAGGAUAGUUGUGGAGAUUAAUUAGGCAGCUCAUUUGAGAUUCAAAGUGCUGUGAGCCCACAAGAAAAGUCCUGGGGAAGAACAAAGGCGGGGCCCACGCUUCGUUUCAGCAGGCCGGGGACCACACCAAAGGCACUUCAGGGAUGCAUUUGGUGGCACCCCGGUAUUUGUUAAUUUACUGGUAUUAGGAAGUCAUUAUGGUUACCAGGGGUUAAUGGAAAGAUUGAACUUGCUAAAAUGGGCCAUAGAGGCGUAAAUCGAGGGCUCCUUUGUUCAAAGGAGGAUUGGGCCCUUCAGCAUUAAGCCUAGCUGCAGUGUGCUUCCUGGCCUUGCAGAUAUCUUUCAGAAAUCCAAAGCAGGCUGUUGGUAGCAUGAACAUUUUAUUUUUCAGUGAAAAAUGAAAUCUUUUACUUCUCAAUAUGUCCAAGAGAAAAAUUAUUUCAGAGAAAAAAAAGAGAACAAGUUAAUUAGUAUGCCUUUAGUGAUCCUCUGAUGGAAGAGUUCCAUCCCUGCAUCCCUUACACCUGCAGCUAGGGGGUGAAUGCUCACAUGCGUGCACACACACACACACACGCACACACACACACCGAGCUGAAUGAGAAGUCUAGGAAGAAGCCAGCGUAACACUCAGGGAAGGAGCCCAGAGGAGUCUCCAGCUUGCACAGAAGGAACUCAUGUGAAGUGCACAGCAUAUAGAAUGAAAUAGAUCCCAGAGUUUUCAAAGCGAGGCUCAGCUUUGCAAGAGAAGCUCAAAUGAAUACAAACCAGUCAGGGAAGUUAUAGAAGGAAGUGAGAUGUUUGACUUUUUAUGAAAGGUGUCUUUUGAGGGCAAAUUUUGUGAGAGUUGUAAGAGGGAGGGAGGAGUAUGGAUAAAGAUCAAAAGUACUACAUUCCCUAGGCCUGUUUCCAUGUCCCUCUCUUGGUGGAGGCCAGAGUGUGCAUUUCAGUAGGUGCACUAAAAUCCUGACAUCUCUAACCAGCCCCGGUCGUCCUAUUUGAAUAUGGCUCUAUAUAGAUGACAGGCAUGAAAAGCCACACGUAUUGCAACAGCCAUUCAGUCCUUGAAAGAGCACUGCAAUUCUACCUUGCCAGGAGAAUCUACUUUGUAAAGAAGAAAGGAAAGAGGGAGAAAGAUAAGAGCAAGCCGUAAAUAAAGCAGGACUAAGAAAUGAAGCAGGAAGAUGCCGCUUGAAGGACAAUACAAGAUGAGUAACAGGGACCAGAACACGCUACCCUAGAAUAUGACAUGCUGGCAUUUAAGGAGACAGCAGAAGCAGGAAGGUCUCUCUGACCUUCUUCCACCAUUCUCCCCUGAAGCAGGCCAUGAAAGAAUUCUCUGGCCUUUCUCUAAAAUAAGUCAUAAGACUCUCAUUACAGAAGACUGUUCCUUAUAUUGGGGGGAAAGGAAUGAAGACAAAAAAACACCAAGACGAAUCUGAACAAAGGCCUUGCUAAGUUCCCCUCAUUUUAUAACCAUUAGGUCACACCCACUUUGUCCAAUCAUAUUUCUGCAUGACUGUCCAAGUCUUCAUCAAACCUAAACAUCCAUAGAUUUCCCUGUUUCCUUGGGUCUUCAUUUCUGAAGGCUCCCAUGUUACAUAAAACUUACAUUGAAU